UACGUAGGGGGCGAGCGUUGUCCGGAAUUACUGGGCGUAAAGAGCAUGUAGGCGGGUAUUUAAGUCAAGAGUGAAAACUAUGGGCUCAACCCAUAGCCUGCUCAUGAAACUGGAUACCUUGAGGGUAUGAGAGGAAAGCGGAAUUCCCAGUGUAGCGGUGAAAUGCGUGGAUAUUGGGAGGAACACCAGUGGCGAAGGCGGCUUUCUGGCAUACAACUGACGCUGAGAUGCGAAAGCGUGGGGAGCGAACAGG
rnacentral:rRNA from 1 species